GCGAGCGGCGGAUGGGUGAGUAACACGUGGGGAACCUGCCCCUAAGUCUGGGAUACCAUUUGGAAACAGGUGCUAAUACCGGAUAAUAAAGCAGAUCGCAUGAUCAGCUUUUGAAAGGCGGCGUAAGCUGUCGCUAAGGGAUGGCCCCGCGGUGCAUUAGCUAGUUGGUAAGGUAACGGCUUACCAAGGCGACGAUGCAUAGCCGAGUUGAGAGACUGAUCGGCCACAUUGGGACUGAGACACGGCCCAAACUCCUACGGGAGGCAGCAGUAGGGAAUCUUCCACAAUGGACGCAAGUCUGAUGGAGCAACGCCGCGUGAGUGAAGAAGGUUUUCGGAUCGUAAAGCUCUGUUGUUGGUGAAGAAGGAUAGAGGUAGUAACUGGCCUUUAUUUGACGGUAAUCAACCAGAAAGUCACGGCUAACUACGUGCCAGCAGCCGCGGUAAUACGUAGGUGGCAAGCGUUGUCCGGAUUUAUUGGGCGUAAAGCGAGCGCAGGCGGAAAAAUAAGUCUAAUGUGAAAGCCCUCGGCUUAACCGAGGAACUGCAUCGGAAACUGUUUUUCUUGAGUGCAGAAGAGGAGAGUGGAACUCCAUGUGUAGCGGUGGAAUGCGUAGAUAUAUGGAAGAACACCAGUGGCGAAAGGCGGCUCUCUGGUCUGCAACUGACGCUGAGGCUCGAAAGCAUGGGUUAGCGAACAGGAUUAGAUACCCCUGGUAGUCCAUGCCGUAAACGAUGAGUGCUAAGUGUUGGG
rnacentral:rRNA from 1 species